rnacentral:rRNA from 1 species
GGGGAAUUGUUCGCAAUGGGCGCAAGCCUGACGACGCAACGCCGCGUGGGGGAUGAAGGUCUUCGGAUUGUAACCCCCUGUUGGGUGGGACGAACACUUUCGUGGUGAAUAGCCAUGGAGGCUGACGGUACCACCUGAGGAAGCCCCGGCUAACUCUGUGCCAGCAGCCGCGGUAAUACGAAGGGGGCUAGCGUUGCUCGGAAUUACUGGGCGUAAAGGGCGCGUAGGCGGCGCUGCAAGUCAGGCGUGAAAUUCCUGGGCUUAACCUGGGGGCUGCGCUUGAGACUGUGGUGCUAGAGGAUGAAAGAGGGUCGUGGAAUUCCCAGUGUAGAGGUGAAAUUCGUAGAUAUUGGGAAGAACACCGGUGGCGAAGGCGGCGACCUGGUCCAUUACUGACGCUGAGGCGCGACAGCGUGGGGAGCAAA